rnacentral:rRNA from 1 species
UACAGAGGUCCCAAGCGUUGUUCGGAUACACUGGGCGUAAAGGGUGCGUAGGUGGCAGUGUAAGUCUGAUGUGAAAGCUUCGAGCUUAACUCGAAAAUGGCAUUGGAUACUAUAUUGCUGGAGGUUUGGAGGGGGGACUGGAAUUCUCGGUGUAGCAGUGAAAUGCGUAGAUAUCGAGAGGAACACCGGUGGCGAAGGCGAGUCCCUGGACAACACCUGACACUGAGGCACGAAAGCUAGGGGAGCAAACAGG